rnacentral:misc_RNA from 1 species
UAGAAAUUGAACUUAUAGCUGUUAAUGUGAUGAAUAUGAUGGUCCCUUCUAUUGUGUGGCCUUGUCAAAUACCAUGUCUGUUCAAAACCAUAUCCAGGGAAGAAUGUUUUUUAGAUGCCACUAGUGGUCUGAUUUUGCAGAAAGCCCAUAUGAUAGGGAGAAGGCAAAAUUUUAUAGUCAUUGUCAUUGGACAUUGUUUUAUAGGUUUUUUUCUUUCCAGAUUAUUAGCAUUUGUUCUAAAGUGAAAGUUUUAUUGCAUGAAAGCGAAAUGUGCUGAAUAUUCAACUGCUUUUGGCUUCUUAAUGCAUGCAGAACUGCUUUUGAAGCUG